GUAUAUAGUUUAUAGGCACAAGGCCCAAUAAUACAUUCUGUUACAUUCUUUGGGGUAUAUGAAAACAUAGGCCUGGACAUUCAAGGAAAGCUGACAGCAUUCCUCCCGACCGAGUUGCCUCGGAAAGUGUUACAUCCAGGUCUACAAAAGGUGCACAGGUGGAAAGAUAAAGACGACGGGUGUGCACAUGCUCCCGAAAGGGCCAGCUACAACCACAUCAGGUUUAUUCAAUAAUGAUCCUUCCGCAGGUUCACCUACGGAAA
rnacentral:misc_RNA from 1 species